rnacentral:rRNA from 1 species
UUAAAUUGAAGAGUUUGAUCAUGGCUCAGAUUGAACGCUGGCGGCAGGCCUAACACAUGCAAGUCGAACGGUAACAGGAAGAAGCUUGCUUCUUUGCUGACGAGUGGCGGACGGGUGAGUAAUGUCUGGGAAACUGCCUGGUGGAGGGGGGUAACUACUGGAAACGGUAGCUAAUACCGCAUAACGUCGCAAAACCAAAGAGGG